rnacentral:lncRNA from 1 species
GAGCUGGCAAAGGGGGGGUGCUCGGAAUCCUGACGUUCCCUCCGUCUCGGCAGACAGUUUGGCAGGGAGAGUCACAGCUGGGUGAUUCCAGCUCCCCCAAGCCGGGGCUUUUUGAGGGAAAACGCUGACAGAUCCGCAGGAGCAGCGAGCAGGACUCUCAUAAUUUAUUUUUAAUGCCGCGCUGUCUUUAACCGUGCAAUUUCCUCCAGGGUGUUUGCUUUGAGAUUGCGGGAUAAUUACAUCGCAGAAACCAGGCUAAUUACAGUUAACAGCCUGAAAAAAGUGAGGCCCCCCCAUUUCCCACCCCCUCCCAGCUUUUCCCACCACCAUCGCUCCCCGCCGCCGGGAAUGAUGCUCCGCUUUGAGCAUCACUGGGAGGGAUGCUCGCUCGCUUCCCGGUCCGGGCCCACGGAUCGGCGCUGGGUGGGACCGUGCAGCCCCUGCCAGGACCGCGAUGGGGAGAGCUCGAUAGCGGGGAGGCUCUCCGGGCAUGUUCACAAGGGAAUAUUGACAUUUGGGACCAAGGGAUGGAAAACUGGGCUGUGAGCUGCUGGAGCUGUUAUCAAGGAUAUUUAUCCCAGCAACUUUCCCCUGCAGGACUUCUCAAGGUUGUGCUUCUUUUUCUCCAUUCCCACUCUCUGAAUGCCAUCACUAAAAUGCACCUGUCCUGCCUCACCUGUCCCUUGCAGCCCAUGUGGGGAGCAGCAGGGAGGAAAAUCAGACCUGGAGCCCAUUCAAAGGCAGAAACGGCAUGCUGCCCUCCCCAGGGAUCCCUCAGAGGCUGCUGGAUGUGCCAGUGGAGCUGGAAGGAGCCCAUCAUCCCAAGGGUGGCUCUGCAGCUGCUCUCCUGCUGUCCCCUUUGGUGUGACAAUGACGUGGGGACAGGGCACAGACCUGGCAUGGAGGCUGCACCCCAAAACCCUCUCUGAGGAGAGCUCUCAUCUUGAAAAACAGAAUAAUUAUGGAGCGACAUGGAGGAAGAAUGUAGAACAUGGAGCAAUGAUCAGUAAAAUUUAAAAGCUUUGGAGGUGGAGUUCCCAGUGAGUUUCCUGAAGUUUGGAUACAUACCCAAACUUCCUUGAACCUUUUGGGGCCUAAUUAAAUUUGAGGGGACUGAUAAAAAAAACAUGCAUGGAAGAGAAAACUUUCUUGCUAUGGAAAAAAACUGCUUAAUAAAACAGAUUAUGUGCAAAAUAGAAAUCUGGGC